GGGCAGGGGCGGCGUGCUAUACAUGCAGUCGAGCGAACGGACGAGAAGCUUGCUUCUCUGAUGUUAGCGGCGGACGGGUGAGUAACACGUGGAUAACCUACCUAUAAGACUGGGAUAACUUCGGGAAACCGGAGCUAAUACCGGAUAAUAUUUUGAACCGCAUGGUUCAAAAGUGAAAGACGGUCUUGCUGUCACUUAUAGAUGGAUCCGCGCUGCAUUAGCUAGUUGGUAAGGUAACGGCUUACCAAGGCAACGAUGCAUAGCCGACCUGAGAGGGUGAUCGGCCACACUGGAACUGAGACACGGUCCAGACUCCUACGGGAGGCAGCAGUAGGGAAUCUUCCGCAAUGGGCGAAAGCCUGACGGAGCAACGCCGCGUGAGUGAUGAAGGUCUUCGGAUCGUAAAACUCUGUUAUUAGGGAAGAACAUAUGUGUAAGUAACUGUGCACAUCUUGACGGUACCUAAUCAGAAAGCCACGGCUAACUACGUGCCAGCAGCCGCGGUAAUACGUAGGUGGCAAGCGUUAUCCGGAAUUAUUGGGCGUAAAGCGCGCGUAGGCGGUUUUUUAAGUCUGAUGUGAAAGCCCACGGCUCAACCGUGGAGGGUCAUUGGAAACUGGAAAACUUGAGUGCAGAAGAGGAAAGUGGAAUUCCAUGUGUAGCGGUGAAAUGCGCAGAGAUAUGGAGGAACACCAGUGGCGAAGGCGACUUUCUGGUCUGUAACUGACGCUGAUGUGCGAAAGCGUGGGGAUCAAACAGGAUUAGAUACCCUGGUAGUCCACGCCGUAAACGAUGAGUGCUAAGUGUUAGGGGGUUUCCGCCCCUUAGUGCUGCAGCUAACGCAUUAAGCACUCCGCCUGGGGAGUACGACCGCAAGGUUGAAACUCAAAGGAAUUGACGGGGACCCGCACAAGCGGUGGAGCAUGUGGUUUUAAUUCGAAGCAACGCGAAGAACCCUUACCAAAUCUUGACAUCCUUUGACAACUCUAGAGAUAGAGCCUUUCCCCUUUCGGGGGACAAAGUGACAGGUGCUGCAUGUGUCGUCAGCUCGUGUCGUGAGAAUGUUGGGUUAAGUCCCCGCAACGAGCCGCAAACCCUUUAAGCUUAGCUGC
rnacentral:rRNA from 1 species